rnacentral:snRNA from 1 species
GUGCCCGCUUUGGCAGCACAUAUGAUAAAAUUGGAAUGAUACAGAGUAGAUUAGCAUGACCUCUGCACAAAGGUGACAAGCAAAUUUGUGAAGUGUUCCACAUUUUU